AUAUGCUUGUCUCAAAGAUUAAGCCAUGCAUGUCUAAGUAUAAACAAGUUUGUACUGUGAAACUGCGAAUGGCUCAUUAAAUCAGUUAUAGUUUAUUUGAUGGUGUCUUGCUACAUGGAUAACUGUGGUAAUUCUAGAGCUAAUACAUGC
rnacentral:rRNA from 1 species